GACUGUCACGCCCCGGGACCCGGCAUAGGCCCGCCCGGUGCGCGCCCAGACCCGCCAUAUGUCUACACAUAUAAGGCGUCUACACAAAAGCGGAAGAGUAAAGCAUGAGAAGAUCUACAACUAGAGAUAUCAGAGCAAGUAUAUAGCUAGGUUCUAACAUCAGGUAGAAUCAAGAGAAAAUCAUACUACUAAAGCAUAAAGUAAACUGAUACAUCAUAAAUCACAAGAUACAAAAAUAGGGUGGUCUCUAUAAUCAGGUACAAAACUCUCACAACCUCUCCAAAAGAAAACAAAAGAGAGGUGGACC
rnacentral:lncRNA from 1 species